UGCAGGUCCUGGAGAACAGGGUCGUGCAGGUCCAGGAGAACAGGGUGGUGCAGGUCCUGGAGAACAGGGUGGUGCAGGUCAAAGGAGCGCCAGUGGAGCUCAAAUGCUUUGAGGUGUGCGGUGGGACGGGACAGACGGCAUCGACUGUGUGGGACCGGCUGAUCCUAUCGGUGCAGGUGGGGAAGUGCUACUCUUUUCAGGCUUUGAGCACCAGGAAGGACGCUAACCGGACAGUGUUGACCACCACACCCUCCUCAGUCGUCACCGUCAUUGCGGGUAUUGGGCAGCCAUCUUCCCUUCUUUGGAUGGCCGUGAAGGCUAAGGAGACUCUGCGUGGGCUGGUGUCUGCGGUCAACAUCAUUGCGAAGCCCAGGUGCCCGAGAUGCCACACCGGCCAGGACAACCUGGGUGUGAAGCUGUCC
ensembl:lncRNA